UCUAGUUCGUCAAUACUACAUAUCAUUGGGUCAAAUGCUGUCUGACGUGUUUCAUACCGAUUGUUAAGCCGUUCUUGGCACACUAAUUUUGACUGUGGAUAACUCCAUUUACCUGAUCAGGAUAUGGGGUUCACGGCGGGUGUGACCGGUCAACAGGGAAUGCUUACUCCUCCUAGGCACCUGAUUCUACCUCUGGUGUGUCCAGGGGUCCGUGUUUGCCCAACUAUCUAUUUUAUAUUGCUUAUAGGAGUUAUGAGAUUGAUCACUGUUUGUUAUCUUCACCUUGUAUCAUGUCCGUGGAGGGUAAUGUGGGGUCAGAAAAAGGGACAAUUUUUACAGGUAUUGUAUGAGAACAUUCUUACACUUCUCAUGGUUAAGAGGACCACGAUUAGUCAUAUCAAUGGGCAAGGAUCCACAGCGACUGUGGUUACAAAAUUAUUUGACUCUCAUGGUGAACAGAGUGGUUUUAAGGCUUGUUGAGGUAAAAGGUAAUUAAAACUUUAUGCUUUGCUAUUAAAACAAUAUUUCUUAACCUGGAAAAUAGAAAAAUAAACAUGUUUUCAAGAGAAGCAGAGUCACAUUAUUCCAUCUACAUGAAUGUAGUGAAAAGUUUAAACAAAUUAUCCAGAACAGCAAGGUCAUGCUUGUCAUACUGAAAUUAAAGCAUCACCAUGUUUGGUAAAAUCAUAACUCAAUGGGGCUAGGUUGGGGUUGCAAUAUGGGAUAAAAAGUUCUCAUGUGAUUAAAGAGGAUAACAUAUUCUGAUUAAAAGCAACAGGGUUAAUGUGACUCAGGUGAGCGUUGUGGUCCACAAGCCUCUUGUUAGAAUUGUGUGACCUUCAACUCAUGUUCCAAAAAUUGUUCUCACAAAUAAAAGACAUCACAAAAUCAUUCACACCUGCUUCGUACUUACAGCAUGCAUAUAGUUCUAAAGCGCCAAACUGACCUUGUGACAAAUGGGAUCAAGAUCAAUUCAGCUGCUCCAUUUUCAGCUUUCCAAUUUGAUGUAGCAAUAUUCCAUUAUCACCUGCAUAUGGUGUUUACCUCUUUGAAUUGAUUUGAUACACACGACUUUACUCUGUGUAUAACCAGUUUUUAAAUCGAGGCAGCUGACUGACAAACAGGAUAAUGUAACAGGGUUUCGUGUAAAGUUAACGUUUAAAGCUAUCAUUUCGCAAAUCAUAUGGACAUUAUAACGAUCUAAUUUAUCAAUACAACCUGUCAAUGGCUCAAAAGCUGUCUAUCACGCUCCAUACUUAUGUUAGGCCCUUCUGUAUACACUCAUUUUAAAAUUACCUGUGUAUUGAUGUGAAAGAUAUAGUAAAUUUACAUUAAUUAUUUUAAUUUUCUCUACUGCAGACAUGACCUACAUACCUAGAAUGAAAUGGCGAGCACUAUCAAUCAAGACGCCUGAUGUGACACUGGAUCUCUGCCUGAUGUGACACAAAACAUCCACCUGAUUUGACACGGGACCUCCACCUGAUGUGACACGGGACCUCCACCUGAUUUGACAUGGGACUUCCACCUGAUGUGACACGGGACCUCUACCUGAUUUGACAUGGGACCUCCGCCUGAUGUAACACGGAGCCUUUGCUUGAUGUGACUCGGGACCUUUGUCUAACACGGGACCUUCGCCUGAUUCGACACCGGACAUCCCCUUAAGGGACACGGGACAUCCGUCUGAUGUGACAUGGGACCUCUGCCUAAUGUGACAAGGGACCUCCGGCUAAUGUGACAUGGAGCCUCCGCCUUGUAUGACACUGAACCUCCCUCUGAUAUGACACGGAACCGCCGUCUGAUUUGCCAUGAGGCCUUCACCUGAUGUGACACUGGACCUCCACCUGAUGUGACACGGGACCUCCACUUGAUUUGACAUGGGACCUCCACCUGAUGUGACACGAGACCUCCGCCUGAUGUGACACGAAGCCUUUGUUUGAUGUGACAUGGGACGUCCACCUGAUGUGACACGGGAUCUCCACCUGAUAUUACACGUGACAUCUGCCUGGAGACAUCCGCCUGAUGUGACACGAGACCUCCGCCUGAUCUGACACGAGACCUCUGCCUGAUGUGACAGGGAACCUCCGCCUAAUCGGACACGGGACAUCCGUCCGAUGUGACAUAGGACCUCUGCCUGAUUUGACACGGGACUUCCGCCUGAUGUGACACGAAAUCUCCACCUGAUGUGACACGAGACCUCCGCUUGAUGUGAUACGGAACCUCCGUUUUUAAGGUGCUAUCAGAAACGUCCGUGACUUUCUCUCCAAACGUCAUGUGCUUAUCGAAGGAACAGCCACAUCCUUUGUUAAAAGUCUUCUGUUCGAUCUAGCGCCAGGAUUCAGAGGCGAACCCGAUCCUCCCAAGAUGGCGAAAUAAGCACUUUAACUAUUGGUCUGUCGCGACCGAUCCAGAUCAUAGUUAUCCGAGUGGACGAAAUUGUGACAUACCAUAUUAUCUCAUCGCCGUUACAGGAAUGCUUAGCAGAUAUAAAAUCUUGGAUGAACGUCAACCUGCUGAAAUUAAACGAAGAAAAAACUGAAUUUAUAGUGUUUACUUCGAAAUAUUCAAACGUUUCACCAUCUUUUCAACUGUCUUUUGGAAAUACCAUUGUUUCCAACUCGGACUGUGUUCGAAACCUUGGUGUUUUCUUCGACAGUGUACUUUCUUUUAAAAAUCAUAUUAGUUCCAUCUCUCGUUCUUGUUAUUAUCAUCUACGGAAUAUUGCACGGAUUCGUUCUUUCAUCAAUGAUGACGCCUGCAAGACACUUAUAUGUUAUCUUGUGUUAUCACGCUUAGACUAUAAAAAUGCACUAUUUAAAGGGCUACCCCAAACAGAUCUGAGCAGGCUACAGACAAUCCAAAAUUCAGCAGCUCGACUUGUUGCUCGGGUCAGGAAGCAUGACCAUAUAUCACCGGUGCUUGUGUCCUUGUACUGGCUUCCAGUUGAUUCCCGUGUUGAAUACAAUAUUUUACUACACACAUACAAGGCACUAAACGGAAAGGCACCGGCCUACAUGUGUAUAUCAGCGACCUCAUCACUGUGUACGAACCAAAAUGAUCUCUGCGUUCAUGCAAUUCACGAUUGCUAGAAAAACCCUGCGUUCGUACAAAGACCUAUGGAGAUCGAAUGUUUGAUGUAACAGCUGCCACACUAUGGAACAGUUUACCGAUAGACAUCCGUUCGUGUGGCACUGUCAAAAGUUUUAAGACAAACCUCAAAACAUUUCUUUUUAGGAAAUCUUAUAACCAUAUUUUGUAAUAUAUUCUUUUUUAAAGUAAAGGCUGGUUUGUCGCAUGAACUCGUAAUGUUUAAAUUGUUUUAUUUUAUUUGGAUGUUAUCUUUUAUGCUCUGAUUAAUCUUAUCAUGUUUUACAUUUUACAUUGUUAAAGCGCUUAGGGUAAUUACACAAAUUAUAUAAUGCGCUAUAUAAAUGCCGCACAUAAUAAUAUAAUAAAGCAUGUUAUGAACUUUUAUCCACACCAACAGUACACAGUGUUUCAUCAUUGCACGGACAGGCAGACGAAUAAAAAUCUUAUCUUGAUAAGAUUGCACCUUAUAUCGGGCAAGCAUUCUGAGAGUAUUGCAUAAGCAAUACAUGCUGAAAGGUGGUACCAAGUCACCCUGUUUACCAGUGUGGAAUAAGUUAAAUUUUUCGUUGUUCAUGCAGUUGACGCAUAUUGUUUUCAUUAGGGAUGAAAUAGUCUUAGUCAGAACUCUAUGAUAUUUAAAUUUAAUGUAUAAACAUAUAGCAUAUUCUAAAUAUAGCAAAGUAAAUUUCUGUGUGAUAAAUUUAAUUUAAAAAACAACCAAGAAAAUUUGGUAUACUGGCAUCGUGAGACGUACCAUUUCCGAUGCAGUUAAAAAGCAUUCAGUCUGGGUCAUCGUCUUUGUAUAAAAUACGUAAUGAAAAAAGUCAAAUAAUCGUGGAAAUGGAACACAAAACAACACACAGAUAUAACAUUCAUUUCUGUAUUUGAAAUACUUAUAAAGGUUUUCUGAAAACCAAUUACUAUCAACUAUAUGAAGGCCAAUUUCAAAUCCUGUUCGUAAAACUAAUUACUAUCAACUAUUUGAAGGCCGAUUUGAUGUGAUGAAUUAAGUACUGCCGACUGAUCCGAUUUCGCUUACCUAUUACAAAGAUAUACUCGCGUGCUUAACAAAUUUGAUAUGCAUUUUCAUUAAUAUAUUCCUUUUUGCGAUUAAUGACCUUGAAAUCAAUGAAAUGAUUUCUUUUACACAAUCACCGAACAAGUUUCGACAACUACCUCUAUUCAGAGGUCCUACUUUUGCAGCCUUUCCAUCGGAACACAAUCCCAAUGGAUAUAAAAUCACAGAAUUAUAUAAAAAUGAAGUUCUUCAACACCUGUCCAUCAAACGAUACGAGAUUUGAACAUGACCUGUUGUUUGCCACUCAAACUACACUGCAAGUUUCAAAUGAAUCCUUGCAGGCAUAAUGGUUGGUUAUUUGGUUGUGUACGUCCCGUUGAGAAUUUUUCGCAGAAAGAUAAUUCGUACCCUCACGUAGGACCCAGGGUCACCCUAAUUUAGUAUGACCCAGGGCCACCCUAUUUUCUACACAGUUUACUACGUCAUUAAAAUAGUCCCACAUAAAAGUGAAAGUACAAUGCAGACGAUGUAUAAUGCACACUACCAAAGGAAAUGGAUAUUGAGCAAGUCAUAAUUGAUCAAUUACAUGUCAUCAUUUCUAAGCAAAAAAUGGUCUAAUCUUAAAAAAAAGAUGAUGCACUGCUAUCUGCAUCUCUCCACCAGAUUUUCCAAAAUACGAGAAUGUGAUAUGAACCUAGCUUAUAAUUAAAUACAAUACAGUGAAAUUGAAAUGAACUUGGAAUAUUAUCCUUUUAUUUAUCAAUUAUAUGCAAUUUAUUAACAGAUAAUUAUAAGAUAAUGUUGCACCUGGAAAGGGGGAGGUGGAAGGGGUGAUCUCUGGUCGCCUUCUGAUUUCAGACAUGAAAAUUAAAUUGUCACUAUGGAUUAUAUUGAUGCUACAACAGUGUCAAAGCGAAAUGUUUAGCUCACCUGAGCCAAAGAAUAAAAUGAGCUUAUUUGA